ensembl:lncRNA
CCGGUCGAUAUUCUGUUCUGUACUCCAGCCUCCAUCCGGUUCAAUGCGAGACCUGUUACAUCAGGCGUGAUGUGACAAAUCAGGCCAACAAGGCAAUCAGGAUAUAUGUGCAUCUCUUGCAUCCCAUCCCAGUUAUCUGCUGGCAGACACUGGGAGAGAGGCAGUCACUCUCAGCAUGAAGGCAUCCCCUGCGUCACAGUGUGAUUGAAAGAUAAGAUUGAAAGAUAGAUAGAUAGAUCGGGGAUAUAGGUGCCUUAUUUUAUAAUCGGCCAUCAAACAUGGAAUUCCUGAUUAUAGAGUGACUGCAACUUUUUCUGAUUUGGAUUAUCUCUGGGGCUUAUGGACACAGACUGGGUUGAAACCAACAGGGCAUACCAUCGGAUCCCAGAGCCAGGGGAGACCCAGAGGGAGGGGCCGCCCGGGGCCCGGUGGAUCAGCGUCUUCGGUCCAUCACUGUACCCUCAACCAGACCUGGCUGCCCUUGCUGGACAGCCUGCCACUCUUCCAGAGGCAGAUGAUGGAGAAGUACUUCACACCUGUGUACCGCCCACCAACUCAGGAAGAGAUGAGGAAGCCCAAGAACCAUCAUCACUACCCCAAUGACCAGCCACAACACCACCCUCAUGCUCACGCUCACCAGGCCUAUCACAGCCCAGAUGACCAGCCACAUCACCGCCCUCGACCAGACCAUGAAUCACUCGGCUAUGCAAACUUAGUCGGAACCGAUGAAAACACAGAUGACAGCCAGGCACACCACCAGAACCACCACCGCCGCCCUCGGCACGCAGAGCAUCUCCACGAGAACCUCCCCCAUGACUACCAUCAGCCUCCACAUCCGCUCUAUCAGCCCCACGCAUCUCAUGAGAGCGAGAUCCAAAACCCGCAGCUCACGAGGGUCACCCUGUCCCGAGCCUCGUCCUCCUCCCUCUCGUCCUCGUCCUCCUCUUCCUCCUUGUUCUCGUCCUACUCCUGGAAGACGGAGCCCAGCGAGCCCCUGUCCAACCGCCCCCCUCAGCGGCCGCAUCACUCCCUCUCCUGCUCCAACAUCCUGGAGGUCCGCACCGGGUUCCGGCAGGACGGCGGCAGCGAGCCCCUCGUCGUCGCCACCGUAACCCGCGGUGCGCCUGAGGCCCCUCCCCACGACCGCGCAGCGGGCCACUCACGGCGGAACGAACGUGCCCGCGGCUCCCUGCCGGACCAGAGCCACAGUGACGAGGGCCUCCUGCAGACCAGUGAGGACGAGGUGGAGGCAGGCCGACGGCGGCGUGUGGCCCCCCCGCUCCACGGAGUGCUCUACAAGACCGCCAGCUUAGGGCGCAGCCUGGCCUUCAGCGAGGAGAACCUGGUACUGGGAGCGUCAGGGAGGCCCCGCAGGGCAGGGUUCACCAACCAAAUCCCUAGCAAGGGGAUCCUCAAGAACCGGGAACCUCACCCGGACAUCCGCAAAGCGAGGUCUAUGGAGGUUCUGUCCCCCCGGGUGGCCAACGGACAGGGCAAAGGUAGAGAGAAAGGGAAGGGCGCUGGGCGGGCCGACAUUCAGACAGCCAGGGAGAGCUUUGUGAAGGGGAAGAUGCAGUUCUCCGCCUUCCUGGACGAGAUCACGAAACAGGUCAUCAGUCCGUCCAACCUCAACAGUUUAGGGGUCAACCAAGGUAAAGCCCCUGGGGAGACCACGGGCCCCGCUCCCGGGGCGAGGGGCCCUGGGCGGCCAAGCCUCAGCUUCCCGUCAAGAAGCACAGAGAGAGCUCUGGAGAGGAGAGAGAACAGCAUCACAAACCGCCAGCCACACAGGACAGAAGGGAGCCUCGCGGAAACUUUCCGUCGCAUCAUUCCCCACACCCCGACCAGCCCAAUCCCGACAAGCUGAGCUCGUACGCGGCCAGGCGGCACAGAGGCAGCCCCCCUCUGCAUCACCAUCCCCAAACCUCCAGCCCCCAUCCCCCCCAAGGUUGCACCCAUAAGGAAGGGAGGGAGCCAGGGAUUGCGGGCCACAAAGCAAGGGAAAGCGACAUCCGAUGUGGUUCUCAUUUAACCGAUGGAACCAUCAGCCCGGAGCCUAUCCCGCCCAAACAACGAAACCACCGCAAGCCCCGGAACACAGCCGCCCACAGUCCACCCCCACCACCCCUUCCACCCCACAUUCAGCCCCGCCAUGGGUACACAAGCCCUGGGCAUCAAGAGGAUGGACCAGGAGCCCUCCAGACCCAGGGUUCACCACUAGACCAUGAAUCAGAGCCUGGUUCCUGUAGGUCAGACUCUUCUCGAACCAGGGAGUCCACGAGUCAGAACAGCCAAAACUCGGACCAGAGUGUCCGACAUCGGUCUCACGCAGCACGCAGAGGACACACUGAUCCACAUCAUAAGCCCUCCCCCACAGCCCCCACAGUCAUUCAGGGCCUCGGCUACGACCUGGGACUGCAUCAUGUCUCACUUGGUGGUUCGGAACAAUUCCAGGCCCUGCUGGAUGAGAACACAGACCUCCAUCAGAACCUGCUGCAGACGGUGGUCUUCAUCGAGAGCCUGCAGGCAGAGCUAACCAGGAGCAGGGAGGAGCUGAGCCAUGUCAAGGACAAGUACAGAAGUCUUGUGGAGACACACACAGGGACCAAGCAGACCAACACCCGGCCAGGGGAGCACCUGCACAUCACGUCUGAGAGUCUGAGCAGUGAGAGAAAGUACCUGAUCAACCGCAUUGCCGAGCUGAGCUCCGAGCUAGAGGAGGCCCAAAGGACCAUCGCUGCUCUGGAGACCAUCAAUGUGCCCUGUCUGAUCAAGGAGCUGCUGGAGAAGCACUUUGACUCUGCAGAGGCAGUCCAACAGUUCCUGAAAACAGCCACCACAGCCAACCGCCCCAAUACCCCUUCUCUGCCGGACCUUAGCCAAUCCGGGGCUUCCAAUGUGGUGGAGGCGCCCUAUGAUUGGCUGACGGAGCCAGAGGCGGAUCCAGGCAGGGUGACGGCCUUCAUGCCUUGGAAACAGGAGGCAUCAGCUGUGACAGCGUCAGCUGUGCCGGCGUCAGCUGACGACUCUGGUGGUUACUGUACGAGCCAGAGCCAGCCGUUCUCCAUCGCCGACAUAAGCGCCGCCAUCUAUAAGAAGAUCGCCUCAGAAAUUGCUGCCAAUCACAGGUCUCCCCCACCAAAGUCACUGCACGGCUGUCCCAAGGGGACGAACCACACCGGGCCAGCGGGCCCCCGUGCCCAUGUGCGGCAGGUCCUGGAGACAGCUGAGCCGGGGCCCGGAGAAGUGACCUAUCUGUCAGCCCAACAGGUCCUGGAUGAGUUCAUCAACCAGCUGCAUCCCCAAAACAAGGCCAGUGACGGCAAGCCAUCACAUAUGUCGACCUCCUAUGAGUAGGAUUAGGGAGGAGGUGGGAGGAGGCGUGACAGCAGGGACUCUGUUGGUUGCACUAAGUCAGGGAAACCUUCCAAUCAAACCACAAGGAUACAGCAACCGCACCACCAACAGCAGUUCUUUCUGAUUGCAGUAUAAAAGUAACAUAAGAAAGUUACUUGGCACCCAGUGGAACAAGAGAGAGAGUUAACCUAUCGGAAUACUAUUGUAUUACCUGGGUUUGCUGAUGGUCCUGUGGUUUGCCUUUAUAAACCAUUUUCAGAGGAGACAUCUUAGCACAAAGCACAAAGUGUGGCUCGUAUGUCCCUUACAACAAAUGGGUCUGUUACCUUUACAUGCCAGGGCACACACAUUGACCAUUGCUAUUGUUUGACACACAUUAGUGAAUCCUCUGCUUACCUUCCCAAUGUUGGGGGCUUCAGCUGUGUGUGCCCUGCCUUGCCAGCUCUGUGAAAAGGGCACAUGGUCAUGGUCUGUUAUCUUCACCGUCGUCUAGUCUAGUACACUACCCGUGGCCUGUGGUAGCCUUGCAUAAAACAGUCCUACGACCAGGUGCCUGGUGAAAAGGGUCUCUAAACUGUAAUAGUCUAUUGUCAUAUAUUAUAUAUACAGUUAAAGUAUUGUUUUUUGUCUACAUUUAAUAUGGUUUAAUGGUUACUUUCAGAGGAAUAUUUAACAGAGCAUUAAUGAAAAAGUUAUAUAAAACAUUCUCGCAUUUUGGCAAAUCAUAUUGGCAUUCAAACUAUAGAAAAUGAUGUUAAAUAUGAUUCAAUUGCGAGUUAUUUAAGUUCCUGUAUAUACUGUUUGAAUAUAGCAUAAACUUUUCAAAAAGAUUGAAAUAUGAUUCAAUUGCAAAAUAUUUUAGGUCCUAUUUAAGUAUGUAAUGUCAGAAUAUAGAAAUGAAAUGGAAUAUCUGGAUGGUCUCAAAAGGCAAGUUCCAAUAAUAAUUGUUUCAAUUGUUCACUUUAAUGUCAAUGGCUGAUUCUACUCAGGUUUUUUAGGUAGGCCUUUGUCAUACCAAAAUAAUACUGAAUGCAUUCUCCUCCUUUUUGUGUGUUUAGGCCUGCUAAGAUAUGUGCAUGCUAGGCUUUGUGGGCAUUGUCUAGUGCUUCCCUUAUGUACACAAACAUGUCUGUAGGAUUGAUGUAGUCUACAAAUGAAUGUAGUACUAACGUAUACAAUAAUGUUGUACUGAUAUAGUAAUCUUGAAGCAAAAAGUAAUUGUGUCCGGGUAUCCUAUUUGUACAUACAGGGUUCAGUUUAUUAGUGUCAAAGUAAUCGUGUUAUUGAUCUUAUUUAUUCACCCUGUCCAACAGUCCCACUGUUAACAGUUUCCAUGACAUGAUGUUGUCGAUCCAGCUCGAUGUGUCGUCUGUGAAACCGCUUCUGUGCUGAUCAAUAACAAUAAAAUAUUAAUAAUCACAACACAAAAA